rnacentral:snoRNA from 1 species
UAGUAUGAUGAUCUUUUUAUUUUAAUGCUACACAACCAAGAUCGCUGACUGAUCGUGUUGAUAAUCCUAUCUGAGGCU